rnacentral:rRNA from 1 species
CCUACGGGAGGCAGCAGUGGGGGAUAUUGCACAAUGGGGGGAACCCUGAUGCAGCGACGCCGCGUGGGUGAAGGAGUGCUUCGGUAUGUAAAGCCCUAUCGGCAGGGAAGAAGCAAGACGGUACCUGACUACGAAGCCCCGGCUAACUCCGGGCCAGCAGCCGCGGUAAUACGUAGGGGGCGAGCGUUAUCCGGAUUCACUGGGUGUAAAGGGAGCGUAGACGGCCAUGCAAGCCAGGGGUGAAAGCCCGGGGCCCAACCCCGGGACUGCCCUUGAAACUGCAUGGCUGGAGUGCGGGAGGGGCAGGCGGAAUUCCUGGUGUAGCGGUGAAAUGCGUAGAUAUCAGGAGGAACACCGGCGGCGAAGGCGGCCUGCUGGACCGCAACUGACGUUGAGGCUCGAAAGCGUGGGGAGCGAACAGGAUUAGAUACCCCAGUAGUC